rnacentral:rRNA from 1 species
UGGGGAAUAUUGCACAAUGGGCGCAAGCCUGAUGCAGCCAUGCCGCGUGUAUGAAGAAGGCCUUCGGGUUGUAAAGCACUUUCAGCGGGGAGGAAGGGAGUAAAGUUAAUACCUUUGCUCAUUGACGUUACCCGCAGAAGAAGCACCGGCUAACUCCGUGCCAGCAGCCGCGGUAAUACGGAGGGUGCAAGCGUUAAUCGGAAUUACUGGGCGUAAAGCGCACGCAGGCGGUUUGUUAAGUCAGAUGUGAAAUCCUCGGGCUCAACCUGGGAACUGCAUCUGAUACUGGCAAGCUUGAGUCUCGUAGAGGGGGGUAGAAUUCCGGGUGUAGCGGUGAAAUGCGUAGAGAUCUGGAGGAAUACCGGUGGCGAAGGCGGCCCCCAGGACGAAGGCUGACGCGCAGGUGCGAAAGCGUGGGGAGCAAACAGG